UAGAAAUACACCCAUGUGACACCGUUCUCU
rnacentral:piRNA from 1 species